GCCGAGGUAGUCUAGUCCGGUAAGGCGGUGGUCUCGAAAGGACCGAGAUCUCCGAGUUAACCACUGGCGGUUCCGCCACGGGAGUUCAAAUCUCUCCCUCGGCG
rnacentral:tRNA from 1 species